rnacentral:rRNA from 1 species
AGUAAAUAGAUACCCGGGUAGUCCACGCCGUAAACGUUGGCGCUAGGUGUGGGGGACAUUCCACGUCCUCCGUGCCGCAGCUAAACGCAUUAAGCGCCCCGCCUGGGGAGUACGGCCGCAAGGCUAAAACUCAAAGGAAUUGACGGGGCCCGCACAAGCGGCGGAGCAUGCGGAUUAAUUCGAUGCAACGCGAAGGACCUUACCUGGGUUUGACAUAUAGGGAAAUCCUCCAGAGAUGGGGGUCCGUAAGGGUCCUAUACAGGUGGUGCAUGGCUGUCGUCAGCUCGUGUCGUGAGAUGUUGGGUUAAGUCCCGCAACGAGCGCAACCCUCGUCCUAUGUUGCCAGCACGUUAUGGUGGGGGACUCAUAGGAGACUGCCGGGGUCAACUCGGAGGAAGGUGGGGAUGACGUCAAGUCAUCAUGCCCCUUAUGUCCAGGGCUUCACGCAUGCUACAAUGGCCGGUACAAAGGGCUGC